rfam:Oryza meridionalis cultivar OR44 (W2112) chromosome 4, whole genome shotgun sequence.
UUUAAGUGUAGUUGUAGAUUUCUUUGUCCAACGUUUAACAGUCCGUCUUAUUUAAAAUUUUUUAUGAUUAGUAUUUUUCUUGAUAUUAAAUGAUAAAAUAUGAAUAGUGCUUUAUGCGUACUUAUUUUUUAAUUUUUUUAUAAUUAUUUUAAAUAAGAUGAAUGGUUAAAGUUGGAUAAAAAAACGAAAAGGACCGAGA